UGUAAGCGUAUACCAAAGUUGUUGCAGUUAAAACGCUCGUAGUCGGAAUUUGGCAGUUCCGGAAGUGUGCACGUCGUGUGCGCACUUUGCGGGGACUGCUUUUGUGGUCUUGCGUAGGAUGAGGCACUUUCAUUAGUGAACGUCCUCACGCAACCACUCUUUACUGUGAGAAAAUCAGAGUGCUCAAAGCAGGCAUUUGCCGUGAAUGUAUUAGCAUGGAAUAAUAGAAUAGGACUCGGUUCUAUUUUGUUGGUUUGUUGGGACUGAGUAAUGAUUAAGAGGGACAGUUGGGGGCAUUUGUAUUCCGGCGCUAGAGGUGAAAUUCUUAGAUUGCCGGAAGACAAACUGCUGCGAAAGCGUCUGCCAAGGAUGGUUUCAUUGA
rnacentral:rRNA from 1 species